GGAAGACGCAGGGAGAAUGCACUCGAAGUAUUAACAAGCCCAAGCUCCCCGCACAGUCGCACACGACAUAGCGCAACAAUGAGUACUGUGAAAGCUGUGGCUCUCAUCUCCGGGGACAACAACAUUAGAGGCUCUCUCCAUUUUGUCCAGAACCCCUGCGGCUCAACCCAUGUGAAAGGGAGGAUUACCGGACUCUCACCUGGGGUUCACGGCUUCCAUAUUCACGCUCUUGGCGAUACAACCAAUGGCUGCAACUCCACUGGUCCUCAUUUCAACCCACUGAAGAAGUAUCAUGGAUCUCCUAUAGAUAAAGAGCGUCACGCUGGUGAUUUGGGUAACAUUGUUGCAGGCCCAGAUGGAGUAGCUGAAAUUUCCAUCAAGGAUGAUCAGAUUCUGCUCAGUGGUCCUCAUUCCAUACUUGGGAGGGCGGUUGUUGUGCACGCUGAUCCUGAUGAUCUUGGUAGAGGUGGCUCUAAUAACAUAUGUAACGAGCUAAGGAAAGCGCUAGCCACAUCUGUCCUGUAACCCCAAAAAGUGGACAUGAACUGAGCAAGACUACCGGGAAUGCAGGUGCAAGAGUUGGAUGUGGUAUCAUUGGACUUCAAUCGUCAGUUUAGGCUGCAUUGCUUGUAAGAGAAACCAUGAUGCAAUGUGUAGUUUAUACUAUUACCCAAUAACCACGUAGAAAAUUUCUGUAAUGUCCUUGGAAAACACUUGGAAUUUACAUGAUAAAAAUUGGAAGUAGUUCUCAUCAAUGACAAUGGGGUAAGGUUAUUAAUCAUCAUGACGGUGGCAUAACAGCAAGCUCAGAAAAAUUGUUGGUAAUAAAUGACAGUGGCAUACAAAACAGCCGGAUGCCACCAGACGUCCCAGUUAUGCUUGUCAAAAGUUACUGCCAUCGUGCACCAGUCCAUUAUUUUUUAAA